GCAGCUAUGGCGUAAUAGGCAGGCGCGGCAGACUCAAAAUCUGCUGGUGAAAAUCCGUGUCGGUUCAAAUCCGACUAGCUGCA
rnacentral:tRNA from 1 species